AUUGAACGCUGGCAGCAUGCCUUACACAUGCAAGUCGAACGGUAACGGGUCCUUCGGGAUGCCGACGAGUGGCGAACGGGUGAGUAAUAUAUCGGAACGUGCCUAGUAGUGGGGGAUAACUGCUCGAAAGAGCAGCUAAUACCGCAUACGACCUGAGGGUGAAAGGGGGGGAUCGCAAGACCUCUCGCUAUUGGAGCGGCCGAUAUCAGAUUAGCUAGUUGGUGGGGUAAAGGCCUACCAAGGCAACGAUCUGUAGUUGGUCUGAGAGGACGACCAGCCACACUGGGACUGAGACACGGCCCAGACUCCUACGGGAGGCAGCAGUGGGGAAUUUUGGACAAUGGGCGCAAGCCUGAUCCAGCAAUGCCGCGUGCAGGAAGAAGGCCUUCGGGUUGUAAACUGCUUUUGUCAGGGAAGAAAUCUUCUGGGCUAAUACCCCGGGAGGAUGACGGUACCUGAAGAGUAAGCACCGGCUAACUACGUGCCAGCCGCCGCCGUAA
rnacentral:rRNA from 1 species